rnacentral:rRNA from 1 species
GAUGAACGCUGGCGGCGUGCCUAAUACAUGCAAGUCGAGCGAACGGACGAGAAGCUUGCUUCUCUGAUGUUAGCGGCGGACGGGUGAGUAACACGUGGAUAACCUACCUAUAAGACUGGGAUAACUUCGGGAAACCGGAGCUAAUACCGGAUAAUAUUUUGAACCGCAUGGUUCAAAAGUGAAAGACGGUCUUGCUGUCACUUAUAGAUGGAUCCGCGCUGCAUUAGCUAGUUGGUAAGGUAACGGCUUACCAAGGCAACGAUGCAUAGCCGACCUGAGAGGGUGAUCGGCCACACUGGAACUGAGACACGGUCCAGACUCCUACGGGAGGCAGCAGUAGGGAAUCUUCCGCAAUGGGCGAAAGCCUGACGGAGCAACGCCGCGUGAGUGAUGAAGGUCUUCGGAUCGUAAAACUCUGUUAUUAGGGAAGAACAUAUGUGCAAGUAACUGUGCACAUCUUGACGGUACCUAAUCAGAAAGCCACGGCUAACUACGUG